rnacentral:rRNA from 1 species
AACGAACGCUGGCGGCAGGCUUAACACAUGCAAGUCGAACGCUCGUAGCAAUACGGGAGUGGCGGACGGGUGAGUAACGCGUGGGAACGUGCCCUGAGGUACGGAAUAACUGAGGGAAACUUCAGCUAAUACCGUAUGAGCCCCGAGAGGGGGGAAAGAUUUAUCGCCUUGGGAGCGGCCCGCGUCGGAUUAGCUAGUUGGUGGGGUAACGGCCUACCAAGGCUUCGAUCCGUAGCUGGUCUGAGAGGACGAUCAGCCACACUGGGACUGAGACACGGCCCAGACUCCUACGGGAGGCAGCAGUGGGGAAUCUUGCGCAAUGGGGGCAACCCUGACGCAGCCAUGCCGCGUGAACGAUGAAGGCCUUAGGGUUGUAAAGUUCUUUUACCCGUGACGAUGAUGACGGUAACGGGGGAAUAAGCUCCGGCUAACUUCGUGCCAGCAGCCGCGGUAAUGUACAGUGU